rnacentral:misc_RNA from 1 species
AAGCAGCCCGGCCCGAAUUGUUAGGGGAAACCUCAUAGGUUUUAAAAACCUAUGAGGUUUAGCUUUGGAAUGAGGGACACUCC